rnacentral:misc_RNA from 1 species
GAUGAAGAACGUAGCGAAAUGCGAUAAGUAAUGUGAAUUGCAGAAUUCAGUGAAUCAUCGAAUCUUUGAACGCACCUUGCGCUCCUUGGUAUUCCGAGGAGCAUGCCUGUUUGAGUGUCAUGAAAUUCUCAAACCCAUAAGUCUUUGCGGGCUUACGGGCUUUGGACUUGGAGGCUUGUCGGCGACCGUGAGGUCACAUCGACUCCUCACAAAUGCAUUAGCUUGAUUCCUUGCGGAUCGGCUCUCGGUGUGAUAAUUGUCUACGCCGUGACCGUGAAGCGUUUUGGCAAGCUUCUAACCGUCUCUAACGAGACAGCUUACUUUGACCUCUGACCUCAAAUCAGGUAGGACUACCCGCUGAACUUAAGCAUAUCAAUAAGCGGAGGA